rnacentral:misc_RNA from 1 species
CGCACCUUGCGCCCCGUGGUAAUCCGCGGGGCAUGCCUGUUUGAGUGUCACGUGAAACCUCACCCCACGGGAUGUUACAGUCUCGCGGUGGUGGAAUUGGACCGUGCCGGGAGAUCGGCUCGUCCUGAAAUGCAUUAGCCUGGUCGGUGGACCGCAGUGGCCGUGGUGUGAUAAUCUAUCUGCGCCUGUAAGUGCUCUGUGAAACCGCCUUGAUCGGCUCAUAAUCGUCCCUCUGUGGGACAAUUACUUGACAGUUUGGCCUCAAAUCAGGUAGGACUACCCGCUGAACUUAA